CAUGUAAUAAUUUUAUUAGAAUUGUUUAAACACCAAUCAUAGUCAAACUAUCGCAAACUGUUUGACUUCAAAAAUACAAUACCUUUUUUAAAAAAAUAUCCGUUUAGGAUCCAACAUAGGCAGCUCACUGAAAAGAGCCGUUUAGGAUCCAACAUAGCCAGCUCACUGAAAAGAGCCGGAAUGCCCAUCACUACAAGAUCCGCCAACCCAAUUCCAAAGAAGAUAAGAAUAUUAUAGAAUAAGUUUCAGUGGAACCCUGCUAAACUGCAAAAAAUAUAUAUUCAAGCCGCUUCACGGAUUAGUUUACAUAAAAAUCACUUCCAAACCAAAUGGUAUAAAGAUAUAAGAUGAUCUUACUCGGAAGUACUUAGUGAAUUGCUCAAUAUGCGCAUCGAGCGCAGCCUUGACUCUCUUUAGAACGCAGCAGGUAAUCUCGCGAUAACAGCACAGAUCUUGUUCUCGGAAAGGAGGGAGUUCGAAGUUAUGCUAGCUAGCUGUUGUUACUAUCUAUAACUACCCAACUAGUCAACUUUUUAAACGUCAAGUUCCAAGACUAUCUUUGCUCCAGGCGCAUGCGUCGGAUCAGCAGUACGAGUUGUGCAUCCGACGCAUGCGAAUGGAUCAGCGUAUAAGAAGCUACAGCAACCUUGUAAACAGUUGACCAUGGACAUUGAGGAUGACACAACGGUGUUCUCCACUCUGAAGUCCUUUAAGAGUUUCAUCUCUCUUCCGGACACGUCUCGGAACCAGAGAGAACCCGCCCCGGUGCAGAGCCACGUCCUACAGAACCAGUACCUGCAGAGAUUACAGUUGCUGGAGGCAGCAGAGAAGGUUCAGUCUAAGACCCAGCUGAUCCAGAUGGNNNNNNNNNNUGUGUAUGUAAGACACAGGAAGUGA
rnacentral:lncRNA from 13 species